UACGUAGGGGCCAAGCGUUACCCGGAUUUACUGGGCGUAAAGGGCGUGUAGGUGGCUGCGUAAGUUUGCUGUGAAAUCUUUCGGCUCAACCGGGAGAGGUCAGCGAAUACUGCGCGGCUUGAGGGCAGCAGAGGAAGGUGGAAUUCCCGGUGUAGUGGUGAAAUGCGUAGAUAUCGGGAGGAACACCAGUGGCGAAGGCGACUACCUGGCCCACUCUUGACGCUGAGGCGCGAAAGCUAGGGGAGCGAACGGG
rnacentral:rRNA from 1 species